UUUUAAGUGAACAAAUAUUUCUGGAAAAUCAGGGUAAAUGGCAGGAAUAUUACCAAAUCUAGAAAACUGGUAAAUUAAGAAACAAAUCGUUAACACAGCUGAACAACUCAUUUUCAUACUUGUUCAAAGUUUUGAAGUACUUACUAUAAUAUAACUCAUAUUGUGGCUGUUUUUGUCUUAUUUGAAAUAUGAUAUGAUAGCUUUCCUUAAAGUUUGAAAUGAGUGCCAGUAUUCUAACAUAGAACAUGUAUGACUUGGUGGUAUUCUAUGGAUAAUAAAAUGUGGAAAAUGGUGUUCUGAGUUUAUGAAGGUAAAAUCUUAUCAAAUUGUUUGAACAUUUUUAACCCCAAAAAG
rnacentral:lncRNA from 1 species